rnacentral:rRNA from 1 species
GGGGUAGUCUAGCAAUAGAUGAGACCGGCGCACGGGUGCGUAACGCGUAUGCAAUCUACCUUUUACUGAGGGAUAGCCCAGAGAAAUUUGGAUUAAUACCUCAUGGUAUAAUGAAUUGGCAUCAAUUUAUUAUUAAAGUUCCAACGGUAAAAGAUGAGCAUGCGUCCCAUUAGCUAGUUGGUGUGGUAACGGCACACCAAGGCGACGAUGGGUAGGGGUCCUGAGAGGGAGAUCCCCCACACUGGUACUGAGACACGGACCAGACUCCUACGGGAGGCAGCAGUGAGGAAUAUUGGACAAUGGGCGCAAGCCUGAUCCAGCCAUGCCGCGUGCAGGAAGAAGCAUCUAUGGUGUGUAAACUGCUUUUGUACGGGAAGAAACACCCCCUCGUGAGGGGGCUUGACGGUACCGUAAGAAUAAGGAUCGGCUAACUCCGUGCCAGCAGCCGCGGUAAUACGGAGGAUCCAAGCGUUAUCCGGAAUCAUUGGGUUUAAAGGGUCCGUAGGCGGUUUAAUAAGUCAGUGGUGAAAUCUGGUCGCCCAACGAUCAAACGGCCAUUGAUACUGUUAGACUUGAAUUAUUAGGAAGUAACUAGAAUAUGUAGUGUAGCGGUGAAAUGCUUAGAUAUUACAUGGAAUACCAAUUGCGAAGGCAGGUUACUACUAAUUGAUUGACGCUGAUGGACGAAAGCGUGGGGAGCGAACAGGAUUAGAUACCCUGGUAGUCCACGCCGUAAACGAUGGAUACUAGCUGUUGGGAGCAAUUUCAGUGGCUAAGCGAAAGUGAUAAGUAUCCCACCUGGGGAGUACGUUCGCAAGAAUGAAACUC